rnacentral:misc_RNA from 1 species
GGAAGGAUCAUUAUCGUACAACCAGAGGUCGCCAGGGCUGUCGCUGACCCUUUCGAGGGUCGUGCACGCCCCCGAGCGUCCUCGUUCAAUCCAUCUCACCUUUGUGCAUCACCGCGCGGGCUCCCUUUUAAAAAAGGGGGGCUUGCGUUUUUCCACACAAACGCAUAGUAUAGAAUGUCUUUUAAACGCAAUCAAUACAACUUUCAACAACGGAUCUCUUGGCUCUCGCAUCGAUGAAGAACGCAGCGAAAUGCGAUACGUAAUGUGAAUUGCAGAAUUCAGUGAAUCAUCGAAUCUUUGAACGCACCUUGCGCCCCUUGGCAUUCCGAGGGGCACACCCGUUUGAGUGUCGUGAAAUCCUCAACCUUCUUCCUUUUCUUUGAAUCGGGGGAAAGGCUUGGACUUUGGAGGCUUUUGCUGGCCUCUCCCUCUUUUGAAGCCAGCUCCUCUUAAACAAAUUAGCGGGGGUUCCCUUUGCCGAUCCUCGACGUGCGAUAAGCUAUUUCUACGUCUUGAGAGGCAGAGACCUGCUUCCAAUCGUCUCGCAGAGACAAUCGACGAACCCUUCUGACCUCAAAUCGGGUGAGACUACCCGCUGAACUUAAGCAUAUCAAUAAGCGGAGGAAAAGAAACUAACAAGGAUUCCCCUAGUAACUGCGAGUGAAGCGGGAAAAGCUCAAAUUUAAAAUCUGGCGGUCUUUGGCCGUCCGAGUUGUAAUUUAGAGAAGCGUCUUCCGCGCCGGACCGUGCACAAGUCUCCUGGAAUGGAGCGUCAUAGAGGGUGAGAAUCCCGUCUUUGGCACGGAGCCCCCGGGGCUUCUGUGAUGCGCUCUCGAAGAGUCGAGUUGUUUGGGAAUGCAGCUCAAAAUGGGUGGUGAACUCCAUCUAAAGCUAAAUAUUGGCGAGAGACCGAUAGCGAACAAGUACCGUGAGGGAAAGAUGAAAAGCACUUUGGAAGGAGAGUGAAACAGUACGUGAAAUUGUUGAAAGGGAAACGCUUGGAGUCAGUCGCGUCGAUCGAGACUCAGCCUCGCCUCGGCUUGGUGUACUUCUCGGCUCGACGGGUCAGCAUCAAUUUCGUCCCUCGGAUAAUGGCAAGGGAAAGGUGGCACCCUCACGGGUGUGUUAUAGUCUCCUGUCGCAUGCGAGGGGUGGGAUUGAGGAACUCAGCACGCGCCUUUGGGCGUCGGGGCUUUGGCCCACGUUCACGUGCUUAGGAUGCUGGCGUAAUGGCUCCAAACGACCCGUCUUGAAACACGGACCAAGGAGUCUAACAUGCCUGCGAGUGUUCGGGUGGAAAACCCGUGCGCGAAAUGAAAGUAAAAGUUGGGACCUCUGUCGUGGAGGGCACCGACGCCCGGACCAGACCUUCUGUGACGGAUCUGCGGUAGAGCAUGCAUGUUGGGACCCGAAAGAUGGUGAACUAUGCCUGAAUAGGGUGAAGCCAGAGGAAACUCUGGUGGAGGCUCGUAGCGAUUCUGACGUGCAAAUCGAUCGUCAAAUUUGGGUAUAGGGGCGAAAGACUAAUCGAACCAUCUAGUAGCUGGUUCCUGC